AGAGUUUGAUCAUGGCUCAGAUUGAACGCUGGCGGCAUGCCUUACACAUGCAAGUCGAACGGCAGCGCGGGGCAACCUGGCGGCGAGUGGCGAACGGGUGAGUAAUAUAUCGGAACGUGCCCUGGAGUGGGGGAUAACGCAGCGAAAGUUGCGCUAAUACCGCAUACGAUCUAAGGAUGAAAGCAGGGGACCGCAAGGCCUUGUGCUCCUGGAGCGGCCGAUAUCUGAUUAGCUAGUUGGUGGGGUAAAGGCCUACCAAGGCAUCGAUCAGUAGCUGGUCUGAGAGGACGACCAGCCACACUGGAACUGAGACACGGUCCAGACUCCUACGGGAGGCAGCAGUGGGGAAUUUUGGACAAUGGGCGCAAGCCUGAUCCAGCAAUGCCGCGUGAGUGAAGAAGGCCUUCGGGUUGUAAAGCUCUUUUGUCAGGGAAGAAACGGUGUGGGCUAAUAUCCCGCACUAAUGACGGUACCUGAAGAAUAAGCACCGGCUAACUACGUGCCAGCAGCCGCGGUAAUACGUAGGGUGCAAGCGUUAGACGGAAUUACUGGGCGUAAAGCGUGCGCAGGCGGUUUUGUAAGUUUGUCGUGAAAGCCCCGGGCUCAACCUGGGAAUUGCGAUGAAGACUGCAAGGCUUGAAUCUGGCAGAGGGGGGUAGAAUUCCACGUAGCAGUGAAAUGCGUAGAGAUGUGGAGGAACACCGAUGGCGAAGGCAGCCCCCUGGGUCAAGAUUGACGCUCAUGCACGAAAGCGUGGGGAGCAAACAGGAUUAGAUACCCUAGUAGUCC
rnacentral:rRNA from 1 species